UUAAGCAUGCAAGUCGAACGGCAGCACGGGGCAACCUGGUGGCGAGUGGCGAACGGGUGAGUAACACGUAGGUGAACUGCCCUUGGGCUGGGGAUAGCUUGUGGAAACACAGGGUAAUACCGAAUGAGGUCAUCGGAUUCUGAUCUGAUGAUGAAAGGGGCUAAGGCCUCGCCUGAGGAUGUGCCUGCGGCUGAUUAGCUAGUUGGUGGGGUAAAGGCCUACCAAGGCGACGAUCAGUAGCCGGCCUGAGAGGGUGGACGGCCACACUGGGACUGAGAUACGGCCCAGACUCCUACGGGAGGCAGCAGCUAAGAAUCUUCCGCAAUGGACGAAAGUCUGACGGAGCGACGUUGCGUGGGUGAUGAAGGCGGAAACGUUGUAAAGCCCUUUUAUAGACGAGGAAUAAGCUUUGGAGGGAAUGCCAGAGUGAUGACGGUAGUCUGUGAAUAAGCCCCGG
rnacentral:rRNA from 1 species